rnacentral:rRNA from 1 species
GAGGAGCCUGCGGCGGAUUAGCUAGUUGGUAAGGUAAUGGCUUACCAAGGCUACGAUCCGUAACCGGCCUGAGAGGGCGGUCGGUCACACUGACACUGACAUACGGGUCAGACUCCUACGGGAGGCAGCAGUCGGGAAUUUUGGGCAAUGGGCGAAAGCCUGACCCAGCAACGCCGCGUGAAGGAUGAAAUCCCUCGGGAUGUAAACUUCGCAAGAACGGGAAGAAUAAGUAGGGGACAAUACCCCCUAUGAUGACGGUACCGUUUGUAAGCUCCGGCUAACUCCGUGCCAGCAGCCGCGGUAAUACGGGGGGAGCAAGCGUUGUUCGGAUUUACUGGGCGUAAAGGGCGCGUAGGCGGUCAGCACAAGUCAAUUGUGAAAUCUCCGAGCUUAACUCGGAAAGGUCAACUGAAACUGUGCGACUAGAGUGCGGAAGGGGCAACUGGAAUUCUUGGUGUAGCGGUGAAAUGCGUAGAUAUCAAGAGG